GACGUAGGGCGCGAGCGUUGUCCGGAUUUAUUGGGCGUAAAGAGCUCGUAGGCGGCUUGUCGCGUCGUCCGUGAAAACCUGCAGCUCAACUGCAGGCUUGCGGUCGAUACGGGCAGGCUCGAGUUCGGUAGGGGAGACUGGAAUUCCUGGUGUAGCGGUGAAAUGCGCAGAUAUCAGGAGGAACACCGGUGGCGAAGGUGGGUCUCUGGGCCGAUACUGACGCUGAGGAGCGAAAGCGUGGGGAGCGAACAGG
rnacentral:rRNA from 1 species